rnacentral:rRNA from 1 species
CAGUCGCCGCGGUAAUACGUAGGGUGCAAGCGUUAAUCGGAAUUACUGGGCGUAAAGCGUGCGCAGGCGGUUCUAUAAGACAGAUGUGAAAUCCCCGGGCUCAACCUGGGAACUGCAUUUGUGACUGUAGAGCUGGAGUACGGCAGAGGGGGAUGGAAUUCCGCGUGUAGCAGUGAAAUGCGUAGAUAUGCGGAGGAACACCGAUGGCGAAGGCAAUCCCCUGGGCCUGUACUGACGCUCAUGCACGAAAGCGUGGGGAGCAAACAGGAUUAGAUACCCCUGUAGUCCCUGUCUCUUAUAC